UCCGGAGAGGACGGCGAGCUCGGCGACUGCCGGCCAGCCUGGCGGUGUACGGCGUCCUCGUCGCGGGGGAGCCCGAGCUGCUGAGAUCCGGGAGGCGCGCUGGGCCCGCGUCGGACGGCUCGGUCGUGUUUGCACACGCGCUGGUGCGACGCCCCUUGUUGGUGAUGGAGGUGGCGAGCAACAACAACAAAAAGGAGUUCUUUAUGGCGAAGUCAGACCAUCCUAGGCCUCUUGAGAGUUACUCCUUCCUUUUUGGAAUGAAUGCCCUGUGGGCAGGAUGGCUGAAAACCAGAGGAUAGUCCCUGCAGAGUCCUGUGCUUCUGAAGAAACACUCUUAUUAUGAAAGCUGUAUCGAAGCAGAUUGCAGUGCAGAUACCAGUCUGCCCUGGUCUUGGGCCACCACAGUGCCGACGUGAUGGAUUCAUGAAUGGAGUAGCCAUGGUGGACAGAUGAAGGCUCCUCCUGGGCACAGAAGCAUGGCGUCCCUCAUCAAAGCUGACCUUGCUACUGCUCCCACCCUCCCUGUCAGCCACGGAGAUGGAUGCCGGACCCUUUUAGUGUGCGAAUCUUUGAGGAGUCACUUAGUGAUUACGUGAGACCCUUUCCACCCUGGAGAGGGCAGCAAUUCAUUUUGACUAAGAUUGACAUGUUUUCUAAGUGUGCGUUUACCUUUCCUGCCUGUUACCAACUUGGUCAGCGCCUCUAUUCAAGGACUCACAGAGUAUCUGAUUUACUGACAUGGGAUCUCCCACAUACUGGCACUUCAGAUCAAAGGGCUGGAUUUAUGAAAAAAAGCGGUUCUGCAGUGGGUACAUGUCUUUGUGAUUCACUGAUCCCACUACAUCCCACAUCAUUGCUAAGCUGCUAGCCUGAAAGAGCAAUGGAAUGGCCUCAAAGAAACACAGCCGAAGCAACAGUUUGAAGGUGAUGUCUUACAAAGGUAUUCCUUCAGGAUACAGUAUAUGUAUAUGUUAAAGCAGAGGUUGGCGAACUGGUUCAGAGGCCAAAUCGGGCUUGCUACUGUUUUACAAACAUGAUGUCAUUGGGACACAAGCACGCUCAUCAUUUAUAUAUUGUCUGUGGCUUCUGUUAGGCUACAUCGGCAGAGUUAAGUAGUCAGGUCAGAGACUGUAUGGUCCACAAAGUCUAAAAUAUGUACCGACUGGCACUUUAAAGAAAAGGUUUGCCAUUUUCCCCUUAAAUCAGUGAUGGCUGUAUGGUUCUGUGUUACUGCUGGGAACCAAGGACUGGGAAGGAUCGCUCUGUUCCAGCAACCCACUUGGGAAACUUUUGCUUCCAGUUUCUGAAACUUUAGGGCUCUUCUGUUGAAGAACUAGAGGUCCUGGUUUCUAGAAAGGGAACACUUCCAAUAAGGGAAACAUUAAUAGUUCCACUAAACUUAAGGUGUUGGCUGCCACUGGUCAUUUUAUGCUCAUUGUGCUAGUAGACCAGCAAGAGGAGAAAAGAGUUACCAUACUUGAAGGGGUAAUUGAAUUUGAUAUUCAUGGGAAGGCCAGGUUGCUGCUACAUACUGGUAGCAGGGAAGAUUUAUAUGUAGCACUCAUGUGAGCCACUGGGUAUCUCUUGGUAAUCCAGACCUUGUAAAUUGGCAAGCAGAGCUUAACUGUGGCCAGACAACAGCAUGGUAACCAAAGUCUCAGACCCUUCAGAUAACAGUACCACACAGGAAGCCACCUAGACCAGCAGAAAUGCAAGCACAGGGUGAGGGGAAUGUAGACUGGCUAGUAAAGAAAGGAAAUCAUCCUUGUCAGUUCUGACCUCAGGACUGACGGCAGCUGUGGAGGCUAUAGUUUAUCCCACUAACUUCUCUUUUAAGUUUUCAUAGAAAUUGUAAUCAACCAGAAUCCUGGAGAAGUUGCCAAAGAAUGGAGUGAACCUAACGUGUAAAGCAAGUGGACCUGAGUGGUUCAAGGGGUGGAGCACAGCAGACAAUGUUGGUGCUGUGUCCAGACGUCCUGAGUUUGCUUUCGUUGGCUUGGUGUACGCAUUCUCCUCCAGCUGCUCCACGCGACGCUACUAAUGCACUUGCAACAUUUUCAAGAGGCUUGCCUUUGGUAGAUUGGAACAACAUCACCAGGAGGUGUCUGGAAGUUAUGCAUUACUUAUCCCUGUUACAGCCUGCAAACAGUGACUGCCUAAUGCCUGUUAUGGAGAUACAGAAACCUCACUCCCCUGCUAAGGUGGGAAAGACUGUGGUGUGCUGUGUGCAUCAGAGCUCCUGGAGAUGUGGGGCUGAGGCUAGACCCAGCUGAAACCACAGUCUUGCUUUGCUUCUUCCGUUCGCUUCUGCUGCUGCCCCUCCUUCCUUACGGGUUUUCCCUUUUUCUUCUCUUACACAGUUAUAAGUUUGGACCUUAAAAGAUACUGUUGAUAUGCUGAUUGGUCUAAAACAGGCAUGCAGGGGCAUGUGUUUGGCCCCAAAUUUCUUAUGUAAUUAUGUAAUUUCUCUCUUAAUAAAAAUCUUGAUUAUA